UUUAUUUUCCGAAUAAGCUCCAUUUUGAAGUUUCUCCCAAGAAAGCUAAAAUAGUUUUCUGAUUUUUUUACCGAACAUCUCUAUUCCAUGCAAAAAUACUUUUGAUGGACCGAUACUAGUCUAUGGGACCCACCAAAGGCUCUGCCAAACGGGGCUUAAACUAUUUAAGAUCAAAGCAACCGGUCUAUAGACCUGAUCCAUCCGAUAAUUUCUCCUUACAAGCCAGUAGAUCUUGCUGUGAUGGCCCGUGGGGGUACAUAGCAUUCACCAAGCUCCAACUGCCACGUAGGAAGAGAGUGUAGCAAGUACUGGAGGCUGUGGAGCAAGGAUGAGCGGCAAUACUAGUUCUUUUACAAAAUAAUAAUAACUAGCAUUUACAAUGCAAAGUGCACCCAGUUGCUGGAGCUUUUGCUAAUGUUGGAGCUAGGUCCACUGGAGUUACAGAAUGGACUAAGGACAACCUUGG
rnacentral:lncRNA from 1 species